ensembl:lncRNA
CUCUUAGAUCUGGGACCAGAGGACAACGGGAUGUGAUCGGCAGGCAGCACACUUCCUCUCCAGAUUUGUAAUACAUUUGUGGUGUAUUGACCUGAUGAAAGGUGAACUCCUCUCCCAGUGUCUGGUGGAAAGCAGACUGAACCAGGUUUUCCUCUAGGAUUCUUCCUGUGUUUACCUCCAGUCUGUUUAUUUUUUAUCCUGAAAAACUCCCCAGUCCUUAACGAUUACAAGCAUACCCAUAACAUGAUGCAGCCACCAUUAUGUUUGAAACUAUGAAGAUGGUACUCAGUAAUGUGUUGUAUUGGAUUUCCCUAAAUGUAACACUUUGUAUUCAGGACAAAAAAAUAUUUUUUUGCCACAUUUUUUUGCAGUGUUACUUUAGUACCUUGUUGCAAACAAGGAAUAUUUGUUAUCCUGUACAGACUUCCUUCUUUUCACUCUGUCAUUUAGGUUAGUAUUGUGGGGUAACUACAAUGUUGUUGAGCCAUCCUCAGUUUUCUCCUAUCACAGCCAUUAAACUCUGUUUUAAAGUCACCAUUGGCCUCAUGGUGAAAUCCGUGAGAGGUUUCCUUCCUCUCUGGCAACUGAGUUAGGAAGGACGCCUGUAUCUUUGUAGUGACUGGGUGUAUUGAUGCACCAUCCAAAGUGUAAUUAAUAACUUCACCAUGAUCAAAGGGAUAUUCAAUGUCUGCUUUUUAAAAUUUGUACCCAUCUACCAAUAGGUGACCUUCUUUGUGAGGAUUGGAAAAACUCCCUGGUCUUUGUGGUUGAAUCCGUGUUUGAAAUUCACUGCUCGACUGAAGGACCUUACAAUGAUCUGUAUGUGUGGGGUACGGAGAUGAGGUAGUCAUUCAAAAAUCAUGUUAAACACUUUUAGUGAACACAGACUGAGUCCAUUAAACAUUAUUAUGUGACUUGUUAAAGCACGUUUUUACUCCUGAACUUAUUUCGGCUCCUUUCCGUAACAAAGGAGUUUUCAUUUUUUUAUUACAUUUAUAAAAGAAACGGCUUCAUAUUUUAUUUAACCUUUUUUUUUAUUGAAAUAGGCAAAUUAAAUUAAGAACAAAUUGUUAUUUUACAUUGACGCCCCAAACCCUUCCCAAACCCGUCAAUUGUGCGCCGACCUAUGGGACUCCCGAUCACGGCCGGGUGUCACACAGCCCGUGUGCUGAAUAAUUUUGCACGCCCAAUUUUUCAGUUUUUGAUUUGUUAAGAAAGUUUGAAAUAUCCAAUAAAUGUCGUUCCACUUCA